ACGGGGCCCGCACAAGCGGUGAGUAUGUGGUUUAAUUCGACGCAACGCGCAGAACCUUUACCUGGUCUUGACAUCCCGGGAAUCUUUCUGAAAGGAGAGAGUGCCUCGCAAGAGGAGCCUGGAGACAGGUGCUGCAUGGCUGUCGUCAGCUCGUGUCGUGAGAUGUUGGGUUAAGUCCCGCAACGAGCGCAACCCUUGUCUUUAGUUGCCAUCAUUCAGUUGGGCACUCUAAAGAGACUGCCGGUGUCAAACCGGAGGAAGGUGGGGAUGACGUCAAGUCCUCAUGGCCUUUAUGACCAGGGCUACACACGUACUACAAUGGCCGGUACAAAGGGCAGCCACUUAGCGAUAAGGAGCCAAUCCCGUAAAGCCGGUCUCAGUCCGGAUUGGAGUCUGCAACUCGACUCCAUGAAGUUGGAAUCGCUAGUAAUCGCAGAUCAGCACGCUGCGGUGAAUACGUUCCCGGGCCUU
rnacentral:rRNA from 1 species